UGGGGAAUUUUGGACAAUGGGCGCAAGCCUGAUCCAGCAAUGCCGCGUGCAGGAUGAAGGCCUUCGGGUUGUAAACUGCUUUUGUACGGAGCGAAAAGGUCUGCCCUAAUACGGUGGGCUCAUGACGGUACCGUAAGAAUAAGCACCGGCUAACUACGUGCCAGCAGCCGCGGUAAUACGUAGGGUGCAAGCGUUAAUCGGAAUUACUGGGCGUAAAGCGUGCGCAGGCGGUUAUGCAAGACAGAGGUGAAAUCCCCGGGCUCAACCUGGGACCUGCAUUUGUGACUGUAUAGCUAGAGUACGGUAGAGGGGGAUGGAAUUCCGCGUGUAGCAGUGAAAUGCGUAGAUAUGCGGAGGAGCACCGAUGGCGAAGGCAAUCCCCUGGACCUGUACUGACGCUCAUGCACGAAAGCGUGGGGAGCAAACA
rnacentral:rRNA from 1 species